GGGUCAGUAGGUUGGUCGUGCCACCGGUACGUACUGGUCUCACUCAUUCCUCCUUCCUGAAGAACCGUAAUGCCAUUAAUUUGGUGUUGCGGGGAAACAGGACUGUUACUUUGAAAAAAUUAGAGUGUUUAAAGCAAGCUAACGCUUGAAUACAUUAGCAUGGAAUAAUGAAAUAGGACGAACGAUCCUAUUUUGUUGGUUUCUAGGAUUGACGUA
rnacentral:rRNA from 1 species